UACGUAGGGGGCCAGCGUUGCUCGGAAUUACUGGGCGUAAAGGGUUCGUAGGUGGUGCGGCAAGUUGGGAGUGAAAUCUCUGGGCUUAACCCAGAGGCUGCUUUCAAAACUGCCGUGCUCGAGUGCGAGAGGGGUCAGUGGAAUUGCAGGUGUAGCGGUGAAAUGCGUAGAUAUCAGGAGGAACACCAGCGGCGAAGGCGGCGCUCUGGGCUGGCACUGACACUGAGGAGCGAAAGCGUGGGGAGCGAACAGG
rnacentral:rRNA from 1 species